AUGCAUCUACCACCUGGGUAUUCUAUUUCAGAUGGCAUGGUCUGUCAUCUUCGUCGCUCUAUCUAUGGCCUUAAGAAAGCUCCUCGUGCCUGGUUUGAGUGUUUUGCCUCUGUGGUGACUGCCAUUGGUUUUCCGGCGAGCACUCAUGAUCCUGCAUUGUUUGUUCACCUUUCACCUUGUGGUCAGACUCUUCUUCUCUAUGUUGAUGACAUGAUCAUCACUGGCGACGACCCUGAGUACAUUGCCUUUGGUAAGGCACGUCUAGUGAGUAGUGUAGUUUCUAGCCGUGUACUCCUUUGUAUUUUUGCAUAUUGUACCAUACUAGCACGUGUAUAUAUACUGGCCUAUGACCACUUGGGAAACAAGUUGCAUAUUUCCUAA
rnacentral:rRNA from 1 species